UACAGAGGGGGCAAGCGUUGGUCGGAAUUACUGGGCGUAAAGGGCGCGUAGGCGGCCUGCUAAGUCGGACGUGAAAUCCCCCGGCUCAACCGGGGAACUGCGUCCGAUACUGGUGGGCUCGAAUCCGGGAGAGGGAUGUGGAAUUCCAGGUGUAGCGGUGAAAUGCGUAGAUAUCUGGAGGAACACCGGUGGCGAAGGCGGCAUCCUGGACCGGUAUUGACGCUGAGGCGCGAAAGCCAGGGGAGCAAACGGG
rnacentral:rRNA from 1 species